UACGUAGGGCGCAAGCGUUGUCCGGAAUUAUUGGGCGUAAAGAGCUCGUAGGUGGCUUGUCACGUCGGGUGUAGAAGCUUGGGACUUGAACUCCAGGUCUGAUUCGAUACGGGCAGACUAGAGGGUAGGCAGGGGGAGAGCGGAACUCCUGGUGUAGCGGUGGAAAUGCGCAGAUAUCAGGAAGAACACCGGUGGCGAAGCGGCUCUCCUGGGCCUUACCUGACGCUGAGAGCGAAAGCGUGGGUAGCGAACAGG
rnacentral:rRNA from 1 species